AAAGUAGUGGGUGCAGUUUUAGGAUUUGAUGAGAUGCCAUGGGCCUGGCAGUGGAUCUGUACGAGUUAGACAUUUGUUCGUGUUUAUUAGAUUAGAUUUGAACAGCCAGGGAAUUCCUAGAGGCAUGGCACAGAUUCAAUCAAUAAGCACAUCGACCUGGACCCAAUAUACCGGCCACUGCAACGGACAGCUGGAACUGACAACCGGAAGCGGCAGAGACAAACCACUACAAAUGCCGAAGGAAAGAUCACAGAAGCGCUUCACAGGAGGCUCCCAAGCACUGAGGAUGUCACCUAGAGAGGGGACGAAACGUCUGCAACACAAAUUCCCAGCUCGGCGAACAGAACCACAACAACGAGCACCCGAGCUACAAAUCUUCUCACAAACUUUGAACCAUUAAUAAUAUGUGUAUUUGAACAUGCAUGGAGUGAGUCAGCUUAAACUACAUCUACAUGACAAAAUGACACAAAAGUAUCAGACAAAGUUUGCUUUUGCUGUUUUGAAGGAAUUCAAUGUGAUUAACAUCUUGUGCUCCCUAUGGUUAGCCAGUAUGCCAUUCACGUUAAAAAAAAAUCAAUAAUAAGUAUCAUGAAAAGACAACAUUUCAGGGAAAUUAGGCAUGGGCAAUACAUAUGGCCUUACCAUUUCUCACCUUUCUAGAUUAAACAGGAAGCGAGUACAGCUCAACAAAUAUAUUCAGAAAGCACUGAUCUAUUACCUCUGUUCUGAUUCAGUUAGGAGGUUUAAAUUGAUUUACCACUUCAUUUCCUGAACAAAGUUUGAAUUAAGAAUAUCUAGCUCAGUGUCAGAAACAAGUCAGCCAGAAAUAAUGUAUUGUCAAAUAAUCUUGCUGAAGCAAAUGUAUAAUUAUUUUAAAAAUGUCUAAGUGAUACAAAUAUAUACAACCCUCCUUGAAAACUAACAUACAUGUGCACAACCUUCAAGUCAGGAGAAGAAAAAACAUAAAACCUCUGCUGUGUUAACUAGAAAAUUCCUUGGCUAAGUAACUGUUAAACUCAAGAAAAAUAAUUUCACAAAUUGUGCAAAUGACAAUCUUAAGCCAAAGUAACUUUGCACAGUUGAUGUUGGGAUGUCUUCCUGGAUCAAUUUUAACUCACUGAAUUAAUUUCUCAUUUUCAAAUUCUCUUGUCAGAACACACUAUUUUUAGUGACAGGACCUUCCAGUAAGUUUUCAGUUCUCACACAUAAAUAAGAGGGAUUUCAGAGAACCGCAAAGGCAAUUGCUCAGGUCAAGUUUUUUCUCUGGUUCUGUGUCCAAUUCCUUUUAUUGCCAAAAUGUUUAUCAGUCUGUCUAAAUGUGAUAUGUGACCUCUUUCUGAAGGUUUUGUAGAUUCAGUGUCUCCAAUUGAGCAGUGUUUGGUCUUUGCAAAUUAAACAUUUUCCCUGUUGCA